AGCUCAGUGGUUAAGAGCACUGGCUGUUCUCCCAGAGAACCUGGGUUAAAUUCCCAG
rnacentral:tRNA from 1 species